rnacentral:rRNA from 1 species
GCGGCACGCCUAACACAUGCAAGUCGAACGAAGUAGCAAUACUUAGUGGCAGACGGGUGAGUAACAUGUAGGUAUCUGCCCUUUGGCCUGGAAUAACACGAGGAAACUUGUGCUAAUACCGGAUAAGUCUUUACGGAGAAAGCUUUAUGCACCAUUGGAUGAGCCUGCACUUGAUUAGUUUGUUGGUGGGGUAAUGGCCUACCAAGACUGUGAUCAAUAGCUGAUUUGAGAGGAUGAUCAGCCACAUUGGGACUGAGACACGGCCCAAACUCCUACGGGAGGCAGCAGUGGGGAAUCUUGCACAAUGGAGGAAACUCUGAUGCAGCGAUGCCGCGUGAGUGAAGAAGGCCUUUGGGUUGUAAAGCUCUUUCGUCGGGGAAGAAAAUGACUGUACCCGAAUAAGAAGGUCCGGC